UGGGGGAUAUUGCACAAUGGGCGAAAGCCUGAUGCAGCGACGCCGCGUGGUGGAUGAAGGCUUUCGGGUUGUAAACCUCUUUCGCUAUCGAACAAGGCCCGCUUAGGGUGGGUUGAGGGUAGGUGGAGAAGAAGCGCCGGCUAACUACGUGCCAGCAGCCGCGGUAAUACGUAGGGCGCGAGCGUUGUCCGGAAUUAUUGGGCGUAAAGGGCUUGUAGGCGGCUUGUUGCGCCUGCUGUGAAAACGCGGGGCUUAACUUCGCGCGUGCAGUGGGUACGGGCAGGCUUGAGUGUGGUAGGGGUGACUGGAAUUCCAGGUGUAGCGGUGGAAUGCGCAGAUAUCUGGAGGAACACCGAUGGCGAAGGCAGGUCACUGGGCCAUUACUGACGCUGAGGAGCGAAAGCAUGGGUAGCGAACAGG
rnacentral:rRNA from 1 species